rnacentral:pre_miRNA from 1 species
UUUUAUGGAUGAAUAAAGAAUGUGGUUUCUUGAGAUGGAAUCUAUUCCUGGUGAAGAUGCUGUGAA